GACAGAGGUGCCGAGCGUUAGGCGGAAUCACUGGGCUUAAAGCGUGUGUAGGCGGAUCUGUAAGUACCUUGUGAAAUCCCACGGCUCAACCGUGGAACUGCUUGGUAUACUGCGGGUCUUGAGGCCACCUAGGGGCAAGUGGAACAAACGGUGGAGCGGUGAAAUGCGUAGAUAUCGUUUGGAACGCCAAUGGUGAAACAACUUGCUGGGGGUGUGCUGACGCUGGAGACACGAAAGCCAGGGGAGCAAACGGG
rnacentral:rRNA from 1 species